GACGAACGCUGGCGGCGUGCUUAACACAUGCAAGUCGAACGGAAAGGCCCUGCUUUUGUGGGGUGCUCGAGUGGCGAACGGGUGAGUAACACGUGAGUAACCUGCCCUUGACUUUGGGAUAACUUCAGGAAACUGGGGCUAAUACCGGAUAGGAGCUCCUGCUGCAUGGUGGGGGUUGGAAAGUUUCGGCGGUUGGGGAUGGACUCGCGGCUUAUCAGCUUGUUGGUGGGGUAGUGGCUUACCAAGGCUUUGACGGGUAGCCGGCCUUGGAGGGUGACCGGCCACAUUGGGCCUGCGAUACGGCCCAGACUCCUACGGGAGGCAGCAGUGGGGAAUAUUGCACAAUGGGCGGAAGCCUGAUGCAGCAACGCCGCGUGCGGGAUGACGGCCUUCGGGUUGUAAACCGCUUUCGCCUGUGACGAAGCGUGAGUGACGGUAAUGGGUAAAGAAGCACCGGCUAACUACGUG
rnacentral:rRNA from 1 species